UACGUAGGGGGCAAGCGUUGUCCGGAUUUACUGGGUGUAAAGGGCGCGCAGGCGGAGUGACAAGUCAGAGGUGAAAUCCUACAGCUUAACUGUAGAACUGCCUUUGAUACUGUUAUUCUUGAGUUCGGAAGAGAGAGACGGAACUCCAGGUGUAGUGGUGAAAUACGUAGAUGUCUGGAAGAACACCAGUUGCGAAGGCGGUCACCUGGUCCGAUACUGACGCUGAGGUGCGAAAGCGUGGGGAGCAAACAGG
rnacentral:rRNA from 1 species